AGUCGAGCGGGGAAGGUAGCUUGCUACUUAACCUAGCGGCGGACGGGUGAGUAAUGCUUGGGAAUCUGCCUAUUAGUGGGGGACAACAUCUCGAAAGGGAUGCUAAUACCGCAUACGUCCUACGGGAGAAAGCAGGGGACCUUCGGGCCUUGCGCUAAUAGAUGAGCCUAAGUCGGAUUAGCUAGUUGGUGGGGUAAAGGCCUACCAAGGCGACGAUCUGUAGCGGGUCUGGGAGGAUGAUCCGCCACACUGGGACUGAGACACGGCCCAGACUCCUACGGGAGGCAGCAGUGGGGAAUAUUGGACAAUGGGGGGAACCCUGAUCCAGCCAUGCCGCGUGUGUGAAGAAGGCCUUUUGGUUGUAAAGCACUUUAAGCGAGGAGGAGGCUACCGAGAUUAAUACUCUUGGAUAGUGGACGUUACUCGCAGAAUAAGCACCGGCUAACUCUGUGCCAGCAGCCGCGGUAAUACAGAGGGUGCAAGCGUUAAUCGGAUUUACUGGGCGUAAAGCGCGCGUAGGUGGCCAAUUAAGUCAAAUGUGAAAUCCCCGAGCUUAACUUGGGAAUUGCAUUCGAUACUGGUUGGCUAGAGUAUGGGAGAGGAUGGUAGAAUUCCAGGUGUAGCGGUGAAAUGCGUAGAGAUCUGGAGGAAUACCGAUGGCGAAAGCAGCCAUCUGGCCUAAUACUGACACUGACGUGCGAAAGCAUGGGGAGCAAACAGGA
rnacentral:rRNA from 1 species